CACUGCUUCCCCAGCAAAAUCAUCAGAAAAUAAGCAGAAACAUCAGGGAGAUGAUUGUGGAACUACCAGAAGUUUUGUUCAUCCAUGAAAUGUUUAUCUGUUUACCAUAUAUAUAUAUAUAUAUGUAUAUAUAUAUAUACAUAUAUAUAUGCAAGUAUGAAUAGCAUGGAAAUGUCCAGCAAUCACGCUACUUAAAAAAGGAGACAGUUUGGCUAUAAUGACCAUAGUUACAUCUGGAUGAAAAAAAGAGAUUUGUAAGCUUGAGAGCACCCUCUYAACUUUAGCUCCAGGAGGGACUGGUGCACUUCACAAAAUCGAUGGAGAAAUUAGUAAAGCAACAUCUCUAUACAUAAGCCAAGAAGUUAGAAUGUGGGCGCAAAUCUUCCAAAGGGACAAGAAACAUAGGCAUACUGCUAAUUUAGUAAAAGUUGACUUAUGUGUAACAAAAGUCAGUUUUUCAGUAGCGAUCUCAAAGCCCUGACAUCAGUCCCAUAGAAAAUCAAACUGAAAUGGUGUGUUUUAGAACGACAGCCAACAAACUCGUCUCAGUUUGGACCAAAAUGCCAGGAAAUUACUUUCAGAAGCUUGUGAAAGGUUAUCUGAUAUGUUUGACAUACCRUUUAAAAGAAUCAURUAAAACACUAAGGACAUACAUAAACUUCCAACUCUGAAGAAAAUAACAAAAGCUUUCAUAACUAUUUUCUUUCUCAUUAAUCUGGCAUUUCUUGAACAGAAACAAUUUUGGUAAUCUUAAUUUACUUAAAAUGUAAAAGUUCAAUCUGAUUUCAUGUCAGGCAUAGUGAAAAAAAAAAAGUUUCUUUUUUUCCGCUGUUUUUUUUUUGUUGAAUUUUUAUAGUGUGUGUGUAAAUACACCAAAAUGGAAUAGCUUCAAUUUGUGAAAAUGCUUGAAGGCAUGAAACAGAGGCCUGGUCAUUACACARAAWAUUUAGCAACCGACUGAUUUUUCAACUUGCAACAAGAAAAAGUAAAACUAGGGUGUAACGUCUGCCACGAGUCAAAUGUAUUAAUCAGAAUUUGUACUCAAACAGGAAUUAUCAAGUUCCAAGUUACAAAAACUCAACAAAAUGACUGCAGAAGUUGUAGGUCUCUGCUCCUACUUCAACAUCCAAUAUGGCCACCUUAUGUGUAAAACUUGGUCAAAGACACARGAAUAAAAUAUUUGUAACACAACAAACCAGUGGGACAAAUAGUGCUGUUGGACUAUUUGUUUACAUAUUUAAAUACAUAAAACUUCAGAUAAAAUGUUAUCACCUUGCACUGCCAACAGUAGGCCAGGCACUGAUCGUACCAAUUAGCUUGGCCCAUCGCUUUCUUGAUUUGCAGCUCCAACAAACUCAGAUGUGAUGUCUAUCUCAGAUCUAAGGUCCAAAGCAAAGCAAACCCAGUGUAACUUUAAUCAGGAUUGCAGCCAGUUGGGCAAGGACAGGUUGUUGCAAUCAAACWAUAUCAAAAUUUCAAAUUGCUAAAAAUKUUCAGUUACACCAUUCCUACAGUUUCAAAACUUUUCAAUGAGAUGGCAGAGAAAGUAGCAGAGUGACCUCAGUUUUCUUUGGCUGUAGCUCCUUCCUCACAUGUUGCUGCCCACUGCAGUUCAGCUUUUGCAAGGUAGAUGAAUUUGUAAUUUUAUGGCUCUUUGAAGAGUAAGCAGAUACAUUUUGAGACCAGUUCUUGACAAUUGGAGUUGUUUUUUUUAUCCAGUUGUGUGGUGUUUUAUAAUGCAUAUUUAUUAUUUUUUGUGUUAUUAAGCAUAUAUACACCUAACCAAAACUUGCAAUACUAAGAUUGCACCAAAUGUCAUUGCACUUAAUGUUUAUAAUGGGAUUUAAGACUUUAGGGUUUUAAAAAUAUGAAUAAUGUGACCUUGAAGUCACCAAACUUUAAAAGCUUUCUGCCUUUGCUGUAGUGCCCCUUUAAGACCAUGAGAAAAAAAAACUAUGCAAUUGCUGCACUCUCAUUAUCAGCAUUUAUAACCACAAAAAAACAACAAAAAAUG